rnacentral:rRNA from 1 species
GGGUAACCUGCCUGUAAGAUCGGGAUAACUCCGGGAAACCGGGGCUAAUACCGGAUCGUUGUUUGAACCGCAUGGUUCAAACAUAAAAGGUGGCUUCGGCUACCACUUACAGAUGGACCCGCGGCGCAUUAGCUAGUUGGUGAGGUAACGGCUCACCAAGGCGACGAUGCGUAGCCGACCUGAGAGGGUGAUCGGCCACACUGGGACUGAGACACGGCCCAGACUCCUACGGGAGGCAGCAGUAGGGAAUCUUCCGCAAUGGACGAAAGUCUGACGGAGCAACGCCGCGUGAGUGAUGAAGGUUUUCGGAUCGUAAAACUCUGUUGUUAGGGAAGAACAAGUACCGUUCGAAUAGGGCGGUACCUUGACGGUACCUGACGAGAAAGCCACGGCUAACUACGUGC